rnacentral:rRNA from 1 species
CCCUCUUUUGCAAUCUCUCUUCUUAAUUAUUGGGCGUAAAGGGCGCGUAGGCGGUUUCUUAAGUGAGAUGUGUAAUCCCCGGGCUUAACCUGGGAACUGCAUCUCAUACUGGGAGGCUAGAGUACUGGAGAGGGUGGUAGAAUUCCACGUGUAGCGGGGAAAUGCGUAGAGAUGUGGAGGAAUACCAGUGGCGAAGGCGGCCACCUGGACAGUAACUGACGCUGAGGCGCGAAAGUGUGGGGAGCAGACAG